UCGGGAAUUUUGGGCAAUGGGCGCAAGCCUGAUCCAGCCAUGCCGCGUGUGUGAAGAAGGCCUUCGGGUUGUAAAGCACUUUCAGCGAGGAGGAAGGGAGUUGUGUUAAUAGCACAGCUUCUUGACGUUACUCGCAGAAGAAGCACCGGCUAACUCUGUGCCAGCAGCCGCGGUAAUACAGAGGGUGUAAGCGUUAAUCGGAAUUACUGGGCGUAAAGCGCACGUAGGCGGUUUUUAAGUCAGAUGUGAAAGCCCCGGGCUCAACCUGGGAAUUGCAUUUGAAACUGGAAAACUAGAGUGUGUGAGAGGGGGGUAGAAUUCCAAGUGUAGGGGUGAAAUCCGUAGAUAUCUGGAGGAACAUCGGAAGCGAAGGCGGCUUCCUGGCCCGUAACUGACGCUGAGACGCGAAAGCGUGGGGAGCAAACAGGAUUAGAUACCCGAGUAGUCCCUGAGCGGGCUGGCAAGGCGCAU
rnacentral:rRNA from 1 species